rnacentral:lncRNA from 1 species
UUUUUUUUUUUUGAAUCCAGGUUUUUGUAAAGGCAACAGAAAAACUGAGAAAGACAAGUGAUAACUAUGGGCUGAGAAUUAUAGUGAAGAGUUAAAUCUGAUUUGAGUCUACAACAAGCUACAGGUAACAUGUAUAUGGCAAGGGUAAAAUACUAUUCUCUGUGGAAAUUAUGGAAACUUUUAAAGAAACAUACCCAGUAGAAAUAUUUCUCAUCAGGAAUAAUAUCAACAAUAUACUUUUAUCUUUGAUCAUGGAUCAUUUCUCUUAUGAUCAGCCCCCACUGAUCCACAGUUGAAGGUCAUGUCCUUUUAUCAAGGCCUUUACCAUUAAUUGCAGAUUAUCCUGCAAUUCUUUGCUUCUAAGUUUGCAGUUUACCAUGAAUUGCAGAUUAUUUUACAAUUCUUUGUUUUCAAGUUUGCACCAGUUUGAAAAUAGAGUCUUAGCUAACGUCUAAAGGGAUUUUCUUUCCUUCAACAUGCUUUAGAAAUUGCUGAUGAUUUGUUGUUCUUUACUCCAGAACUCUCCAUUUGGGUGGCCCUGUGGCUCUGUGUCUCUCUGUAUGCUCUUUGCUGGGAGCCCGUUUAGCUCUGGAAAUGCUAGCUGUAGCCUCUAUAAACUGCUGUUUCUCCAAUCUGCCUGCUCUCUUCUACUCAGCUGCCUCACAGCCCUAUGGUAAUGGGAAAGAUUUUCGCAGUUCCUGGCUAUUUUCAAGAAAAGAGGAGUAAUUUGCAGAUUAGUCUGUGAUAAAAAAAAUAGUCUGCCUCACUGCAGAUACUCUGUGCUAAGGUUUUAAAGGUUGUGGUUAGAGACCUAUGGGUCCUGAAACCUGCAAAGAAUAUGAAUCCCUGCUUGAAAAAUUUUUAAUGAGUGAUAACUGGGUUUUGACAUAUGACACACUUCUUAUUUUAGAUCAUGAUGAAAACAUCUUUGAAAUUACUCUUUUAUUUAUUUAAUGUAUAAGUUACUUUAACGUAUAAACUAUUUAAGUAUCCAACUACUGGCAGAUAUUUGAGCUUUUACUCUUUAGAUUUUCAUGCUCACUGUUGUGGGUAUCUAUGUUGAAGUGAACCAUUGAAACAACUGGAUAAGAAUUGUGAAUGAAAGGAGUUCCUGUCGUGGUGCAGUGGUUAAUGAACCCAACUAGUAUCCAUGAGGAUGCGGGUUCCAUUCCUGGCCUUUCUCAGUGGGUUGGGGAUCUGGUGUUGCUGUGAGCUGUGGAAUAGGUCACAGACACGGCUCAGAUCCUGUGUUGCUGUGGCUGUGGUGUAGGCUGGCAGCUGGAGCUCCAAUUCAACCCCUAGCCUGGGAACCUUCAUAUGCCUCGGGUGUGGCCCUAAAAAGACAAAAAAAAAAAAAAAAAAAAAAAAAAAGAAAAGAAAGAAAGAAAGAAAAAAACCUCUGAUUUCAACUUGUUUAAUAUGCAAAAGAGUUAAAUAAUCUUUUCUAUAACUUUAGUGUCAACCAUCUAGCCGUCUUCUAGAGGUCAAAACAAAAUAAUCUUAUAGUAAGAGAAUCUGGUUAGAUAUAAAAAUAAAUUUUACAAAAAAUUAAAAAGCGGCAAAUUUUUUCCAAUCCUAGGUAUAUAUAAAUACUCAAGAGAAGUGGAAAUGUAAUAUUAUUUGGCUAUAAAAAGGAAUGACAUAACUGAUUCAUGCUACAAGAAACUUGAAAAAAAUUAUGCUAAGUGAAAGAAGUCAGUCACAAAAAAACAUAUUUCAUUAUUUCAUUUACAUGAAAUGCCCCAAGUAGGCAAAUCUCUUGAGAUAAAAGUAGAUUUGAAAUGGGACAGGUUCCAUUGUUAGGUGAUAAAAAUGAUUGAAAAUUAUGGCGAUACCAUACUACUCUGUAAGUACCAUAAACUAUUGAGUUGUACCCUUUAAUGAGUGAAUUAUCUGAUAUGUGAAUUCUAUUUCAACAAAGUCACAAAAAAUAGUGGCUAAACAUUGGCAAAGGCUACAAAAGCCUCUGAAACCUUAAUAUUUGGGGGGCUGGUCUCUCUCAAUAACAACUUAGAGUUGGAAAAGAGGGAUGAUGACUGAUUCUGGGAUGUUGCCACCGUAACCAUAGGUUUUUCUUAGGUUUUUGUUGAAUUUUGUCCUAUCUGGGUUUUGAAGGUCAUUUCACUCUUGAUCAUACUUGUAGAAUCUGCCUUCUUUAAGGAUUUUUAUUAUCCUCAAUUGGCUCUUUCCACACAGAAGAGAAAUAAUACAUCAAGUAACACAAAAGUAGAUUGGUAAUAUAUACCAUCAACUGCUUACAAAGAUAUACAUCAUAUGGAGACACAUGUCUGCUAUACCCAGAUAAAAAUGAGAUAAGUGCCCUAUUUUUGCUUAUUGCUGUCUUUUCCCAUAUCUAUAAUUAAUGAUCAACAGUCAUGUGUUUAAUAUCCUGAAUACCACUAACUUUCCCACAUAAAUAACCUGUCAGAAAUAUGAAAAACCAAAAACAUGUGUGCAGUUACAGUGCAAUGCAAUUGUUCAAUUCUCUAGCAAUAACAAUUUGAGCAGUAAAGCAGUAUACACUAUGAUAAAGAACCUGAUUUUAGUUUAUGUUUAUCUAAAAUCAGGACUAUAUAAGAUGUAAAACAAAAUGUUCUACUACAAACUGACACAUAGUUUGGUGACACAUAACAAAAAUAUUUAAUUUGGGGAUAUUCUUUUGACAAGUGGGAAAAAACACCCACAAAAAUCACAGCUUUCUCCAACACAUGCAUCACAAAAAAAUUGUCCAUCUUUUGCCACCUAGGCAAUGUGAAGUCUAAUAUAUAACACAACUUGUAAUGGGCUCUUAAAUGUGCUGUACAGAUGGAGGUUUUGAUAAUACCACUGAAAACCAAAAGCAGAAAUAUGGUCUGUCUGGUUUUGAAUUUGUUAUCGUCAUAAAAUGGAAUCUCAUUAUUUUUCACUUCUUUGAUUAUUUUAUCCUCCACUUAUGGAUGAGUUAUACUCCAGACUCUAAAAGUCAAACAAAACAUAAUGAAAAAGCAUGAAAUCUGUUCAUCAUAAAACAUUAUUAGUUAUAGUAAUUUCCGAAUCAGAGAGAGCUGGAUAUUUCACAGCUAAGAACAGUAUCAAGAGGAAAUGCAGAUAGAGGCAACUUAGGGUAAUAGUGAGACUGGGGAGCUGAGAGACCCUAAUUUUACCUGCUUGUGGCACACUCUGAACAAGGCGUCACUCUCUGAGCCUCAUUCUUCCUAUU